UUGUUUAAAUAAAAGAUCUGGCCUGCCCAAUGAUUAUUUUAAUGGCUGCAGUAUAUUGACUGUACAAAGGUAGCAUAAUCACUUGUCCCUUAAUUGGGGUCUGGAAUGAAUGGUUGGAUGAAAAAUAGACUUUCUUUAUUUUAUAAUUAAAACUUAAUUUUUGAAUUAAAAAGUUUAAAUAUUGAUAUAGGACGAGAAGACCCUAUAGAGCUUUAUUCCCCUUAUUUUAAUUAUUUAUUUGUAAAUAAUUUUUUGUUGAUUUAAGGGGAAUUUUGUUGGGGUGACAGAAAAAAUUUAAUAACUUUUUUUGAUUAUAUUAUUUAUGUAUAGGUGUUUGAUCCUUUAUUAGGGAUAGUAAGAUUAAGCUACCUUAGGGAUAACAGCGUUAUUGUUUUAVAGAGUUCAUAUUGAUAAAAUAGUUCGCGACCUCGAUGUUGGAUYAAAAUUAGUUUCGGGAGCAGAAAAUCGAUUUACUAGGUCUGUUCGACCUUUAAAUUUU
rnacentral:rRNA from 1 species